rnacentral:rRNA from 1 species
UUAAAUUGAAGAGUUUGAUCAUGGCUCAGAUUGAACGCUGGCGGCAGGCCUAACACAUGCAAGUCGAACGGUAACAGGAAACAGCUUGCUGUUUCGCUGACGAGUGGCGGACGGGUGAGUAAUGUCUGGGAAACUGCCUGAUGGAGGGGGAUAACUACUGGAAACGGUAGCUAAUACCGCAUAACGUCGCAAGACCAAAGAGGGGGACCUUCGGGCCUCUUGCCAUCGGAUGUGCCCAGAUGGGAUUAGCUAGUAGGUGGGGUAACGGCUCACCUAGGCGACGAUCCCUAGCUGGUCUGAGAGGAUGACCAGCCACACUGGAACUGAGACACGGUCCAGACUCCUACGGGAGGCAGCAGUGGGGAAUAUUGCACAAUGGGCGCAAGCCUGAU